AUGGAUAGAUUGCCACAUCCACCUGGGAUUCUAGAAGAUGUUUGUGUGCUAUUGAAGGAAUAUCAUCAUGAGCAGUUGAUAAAGCUAUUUGAUUUCUUAGAUCACAGGUAAUUUAUAUAAUUUUAAUGAAGAAAUAGUAACUAUUAUUUUACCAUGUUUAGUGAACACAAGAUUGCAUUUUUUUUCAAUCCAGAUUAAUUUAGCACAUAGGAUAUAGUUUAUAACUUCCCAUUCUCUCCACAGAGUAAGCAAGCAAUUAUUUAAAUGUUAUUGAAAAGUUUUCCUUGAGGGUAAAAUAAAGUGCUUUGCAAUUCAUCA
rnacentral:lncRNA from 12 species